rnacentral:rRNA from 1 species
UACGUAGGGUGCGAGCGUUAAUCGGAAUUACUGGGCGUAAAGCGUGCGCAGGCGGUUUUGUAAGCCAGAUGUGAAAGCCCCGGGCUUAACCUGGGAACUGCAUUUGGGACUGCAAGGCUUGAGUACGGCAGAGGGGGGUAGAAUUCCUGGUGUAGCAGUGAAAUGCGUAGAUAUCAGGAGGAAUACCGAUGGCGAAGGCAGCCCCCUGGGUCGAUACUGACGCUCAUGCACGAAAGCGUGGGGAGCAAACAGG